UGGGGAAUAUUGGACAAUGGGCGCAAGCCUGAUCCAGCCAUGCCGCGUGAGUGAUGAAGGCCCUAGGGUUGUAAAGCUCUUUCACCGGUGAAGAUAAUGACGGUAACCGGAGAAGAAGCCCCGGCUAACUUCGUGCCAGCAGCCGCGGUAAUACGAAGGGGGCUAGCGUUGUUCGGAUUUACUGGGCGUAAAGCGCACGUAGGCGGACUUUUAAGUCAGGGGUGAAAUCCCGGGGCUCAACCCCGGAACUGCCUUUGAUACUGGAAGUCUUGAGUAUGGUAGAGGUGAGUGGAAUUCCGAGUGUAGAGGUGAAAUUCGUAGAUAUUCGGGGGAAAACAAGUGGCGAAGGCGGCUCACUGGACCAUUACUGACGCUGUGGUGCGAAAGCGUGGGGAGCAAACAGG
rnacentral:rRNA from 1 species